AUGAACGAGUCACUAUGUAGACCCUAUACCGAGGAGGAAAUCUCGGAUGCCUUGUUCCAGACCAGGCCUCUCAAAGCCUCGGGCUGUGAUGGCCUCCCUGCCAGAUUUUAUCAGCGUAAUUGGGGGCUGCUGAAAACAGAGGUUGUUGCUACAGUCCAAGAGUUUUUUGUGUCGGGUGUGAUGCUCGAUGGUGUUAAUGACACAGCUAUAGUGCUUAUUCCCAAGGUUCCCCAUCCUCAGGAACUCAAAGAUUUCUGGCCUAUUAGCUUGUGUAAUGUGAUUUAUAAAAUUGUCUCUAAAUGUAUGGUGAACAGACUUCGGCUUCUCCUGACAAAACUUAUCUCUGAAAACCAGAGCGCCUUUAUCCCAGGACGGUUGAUCUCUGACAAUUCGAUAAUUGCUUUCGAAUGUAUCCACCGUAUACAAUCUGUAAGGAACUCUGAUCCUGGGCUGUGUGCUUACAAACUUGACUUGUUGAAGGCCUACGAUCGCGUGGACAAGAAUUUCUUGGAGAGGGCUCUGGCUAAAUGGGUUUCUCUCAGGUUUGGAUCUCCCGUGUUAUGGCGUGUGUUUCAUCGGUGA
rnacentral:rRNA from 1 species